ensembl:lncRNA
UUUUUUUUUUUUUUUUUUUUUUUUUUUUUUUUUUUUUUGGUUUGGUUUGGGUUUUUUUUUGAGUGAUUCUAAAACUCUGGAAAUGUAAGGAUUUAGCAUAUUAAAACACUGAAAUGCAUUUGGGAAGAAAAAUCACUAUUUCUAGCUAGGACUUUCUGUGCCAAAUGUAUGUUAAUGAAAACAUUCACAGUUUAAAUUAAAAUGUGUUAGCAAAUCUGCCAGCAGAUUUUUUUAGCAAAAUAUUGUCUGUAAAUCUGCAAACCAGUUCAGGAUACCUUUAUUUUUCUGUUUGAAAUUAUGGAAAUAGGAAAUGCAGUUAUAAGGUUACAAGAAUAAACUUAGUGACCACACUACACAAAUACCAGUUAAUAUUAAACUAUUUUAAGCAGUCUACUAAUUUAACAAACCCAAACAAACCUUUCCUGUAGUUCUGUCCUUCAUACAGGUUAAAAUUAUCUCCUGAAUAUUUCCAGCCAGAUUCUGUGUAAAGCAGUAUUAGCUGACUUUGGUCAAUCAUUUAGAAGGAAAAAUUGGACAUUUAUGGUGUUGGAGUAACAUUGAUUGCACAAACACAGCUGAACAAGGCUUGGCCAAAGGCAUGUGGGAGCCUAACGAGGGAAUGAACAGAUUUUGUUGCUACUGAAGAAAUCUCACUGCAUAUAGUCACUGCAAAUGGCAGUGUCUAUGCCAGCAUUUGGUAGUCCAUCCCAAGCAACUGGAUUAGAAUCACUUCUGCUAGAAUAGAAAGUGUGGAGCAGAAAAAUCCUCCCCACAAAACACCAUUGACUACUUUUGUGGUUGUCUCAUUUUUCAGCUGGACAAAUAAUACACAUGUUCUGUAUUCCAGGAAAGAAAUUCCUAAAAAUUAAUGGUAAUUCAAGCAAAAUCUUUGGUACUAAAAACUAUAUGCAUUUUCUUCCCCCAAAUACCUUUCCCUAAACUCCAAAUCAUAGUGCUCCAAUGCCAUUUAGUAGAGGGAUUAAAACGACUUUUUCUGAGUCACAUUUUUUUAAUCUAGAAUUUGUCUUGAUGAGUUGUGUCUAGUUUUCAAGAAGACCUAAUUUUCCUCAGUGGGUUUUUCCUACUAUAUGAACAUAUAAUUUGACAUGAGCACAUUCACUUCAGUGUAGGUUAUUUGGCUUCUUAAAAUUUUUCUUCUUAUUAAUAAGGUAAACAGCUCUGGAAAGUUCUUGUUGUUCUAACUAUAAAACCGUCCAUAUACAGAAAUCAAAAUGCAGAGGUUUUCUUCCAUUUAUACCCACCAAGAACUAAUGGAGUUCUGCCCAGGUACCAGCUCCAGCCUUGAUCUUUCAUUUGGAAGCUGUCAAGGUAGAUGGUGGUUUCCACUGAGAAUCAAAUCACAAAUCCCAAAAGUUAGAUCAAUUCUUAGGCAGCAAAAAAUGUACUGUGUUCCAUCUAUUUAUAUAUUUAAUUAUACUUACAGACAUAGCAACCAGGCCACAAAUUGCAUAAUUAUUUAGCUACCAGGCAGACACAGCAUUACCACCAUGACGAGGGAUUUGAGUAAAUAUCCUGUUACAGGUUACUUCACUGCUCUGUGCCAUUCCUCCUCACCAGUUCUGUAGCAGCAAAGCAGGCAGAAGAGGGCCCUAAUUUGGAGCAGUGUUCUGCUUUGGGAGCAGCACUAAGGCCCUGAAAGGGAAGAUUUAGAUUCUUGUGGUGCCUGCCUGCAGUGACCCGGUGUGAGUGUUAGUUAACCCCUGCCCUCCUGGCCUGGGAAGGUUUCCUACCUGCCCUGUUCCCUUACACCUAGAAGUGCUGAGGAUUCACAGGCACUGCAGGAAGAAUGGGUCUGUUUUGGCAGCAGUGAUGAAAAAUACAUAGGCCUACGCUUUGCAUUAAAGAGCAGGUUCUUCAUGUGACUCACCAGUGAUUUCUGAGAACAACCAAAGAGCUGAAUUAGUGAUUAUCCUGAGCUGAAACCUUGCAGUGUCCUCUGUGCCUGGGAGAGCAGUGCCUCGCACCCUGUGUGAGUGACGUGUGACAGGAAAACAGAGGGGGCAAAUCCCAGGAGGCCCUUCUGCAGCAUGUGGAAAGGCUAAUUCAGAUGUAAAAAUAAAAGAACACAUGAAUCAGAACGGCUCUGUGCUCUCUGGCAGCAAACCUCUCACUUGAAUAAACUCAAUAGAAGCAAAAUUAUGUUCAAGUUUCUGAGCAAAAUUGGUGGCAGAGGUUGAAGGCAGACAGAUAAGUAGGCAGCCGAAAAAUAUUUCCUGGCUUAUUCAAAUGAAGAAAUUAGUCUCUGUAAACUGAACAGAACUGAGCUUGUUUGUGUCAUCUACUGUUUUCAUGUGAGUGUGCCAAGUUAUUUAUUACAUUUGAAGCCCCCUGGAAUAAGGUCAUAUGACUAUUCUCAUACUUUAUAAAAUCAGAUGUGACUCAUCAGAAAGUACUCCUAUCAGAAAGAAAAUGGGCAAAAGUAAUCAGUAAUGAAAAUUGAAUAAGAACUACUGAAUUUAUGUAAUGUUGCAGUACAUGCUUUACCUGUAUUUUUUCAUAAGAUGAAAUAUGGUAAGUGUCUUUAGUGAGCAGAAUCCAGCACUCAAAAACCUGUGACUCAGCACUUCCAAUGAAUGCCAGCAGCUAAAUUCUGAAUAAUAAUAAAAAAACCUUAACUCCCCAGCUCAUCAAUUUAGUGCCAAUAAGAACUGCAGGCUCAGUGUCUGUGAGACAGCCACCCCCGUGCCUCUGUUCUGAAGCAGAGAUGUCCUGCAAAGGACAGAUCAGAAGAAUGAUGUCACUAGCACUGUCAGGAUACAUUUAAAUUUAUCAGAAUCUACUUCCUGACUUCUUUCUUUUCAGACUUUAAAUAAUAAAAAUAAUGGCCAGAGUAAUUUGAUACUUAAUUUACCUUGCUGUUUUUCACUAUGUUUCCCCUUUUGGUAGGGGCCACCAAGGUGAUUUGUUGACUCCAUGAUACAGAUCAAUUGACUGUUUUAUGAGUUACAGUAGCAACAGGAUUAAGUGCAAUUGCUAUGAUUUUUAGAUCCAUGUUUUGAAUUUUUAGCUGUUACUAAAAUCAGUAGAAGUCCAGUGUCCACUCACCUGACAGCUCUGCUUUAAAGAAAUGUGUACUUAACAGGAAUUCCAUUUUAGAUUAAAGGAAGACAAAAUCAUAGUUAAUUGUUCAGCUGUCCAUACAGACUCAUUAAUCACAGCCAUGGACAGUUUUAAGUGAGUUUUUACCAAAUGUAUUUAUUUAUAUAAUGUCAAGAGAGUAAGCAGAUUUUUCAAAAAGUUUUCCAAAUGUUGCUGUAAAUAAGGUGAAUUAAAAUGAGGUACAGAAAUUAGAGAGACGUUUCAUUUUUGAUAGACAUAGUUUAGGCCUGAGUGUUGCAUGUGUUGAAGUAAUUUUAAAUAAUUUUUUUUUAACAGUCUGUGGUUCUUUUCUAUAAAAAUUAAGCUUUCUGUAAUAAAUGUGCUUCAAUAGGUGGCAAUAGCCAAUUACCACUUUUAAGCUGUCAAAGGAAUUAAACAAAUCCAAUUUAAUUCUUCACGUUUGUUUCCUCUGGAGGAGGGACAAAGUGACACUAUAUUCAGCUAAUAACUAUAAAUCCUAAAAUAGAAGAAAAGAAUAAUUUGUUUAGAGACAUUUAGUCUCUAACUCUUUGCAUUUGCCCCUCAUAAUGAUCCUAGCUUAUAAGGAGUACAACUAUCCCAAAGGAUUAAAUAUGCACAAGGUGCUAAAUCUUUCCAGUUGCUCAGGGAAACUGUCUUUCUUUUCGCAGUUGAAUUUUAUUACUUUGGCUAUAGAUUAGGAAAGAAAAAAUAGCUGAAUAGUUAGAAUUAUGCUCUCUGAAAACACAAGCAUGUAUCCAAUAUAUGUGAUGAAAAGGGCAAAGACAAAUAGGAGCCAUGUAUGGGAAAUAAUGGUGUAAUGGAAAAUGAUGAUGUUCACUGAGUGAUGGGUUGCUGAGGAAACUCCAGGUCAGUUCACAGACUUAAGGCUAAAUACUCUUUUGCAGGGCCAGAAAGAAAGACUCAAGGGUUGCUCAGGCAGUGGAACCCAAAUAGGCCACACGAGCUGAAACACUGCUGCAGAAAGUGAAGAAACAGAAAGCAGACAGUGUCAGCAUGUGAAACAGUCACACCAUGUGUUCUUUGCUCCAGCCUGCAUUGUAAGGAACAGUAACUUCAAAGGCAGAAUUAAAGAUAUUGUGACUGAGCUGUUAAUGCUAGUCAUACUACAGCCAUACUUACAUAGAUACAGUGCUUGCAGUAUGUUCAAGCCUAUUGAAAGUUCUAGUUCUGAGAUUUAAAAAAUAUUUAAAAAUAUUUCCUACAUCUUAAUUUUUCAGUUUUCUGAAAUUUUUGAAGUUUUCUGUUAAAAAAUAGGUUCUCAUGAAAUUUGAGGGGCAGAUUUCUAAUCUGAAAUUUAGAAAGGCAGGAUUGAAUAUCCUGGCCAAUUGUAUAAUUUACACCCCAUUUGAUAUCUGCCACAACAAAUUGCAGUCUUGGACUAGCAGCCCUACAGCAGUGUUUGGAACUACCAUUAGACAGCUUUACCCUUUGCUUUGGAGGCCUAAUACAUUUUGCUGGGCUAUUUUUAAGUCAGCCUAGAAUCUGGUCUACAGUGCAGAAUACUAACAAGCACACUGAACUGUCUGCUGUAGCUCAGUUUUUAGUUCCACUUGGAAAGCAAUUAGAUAAACAUGAAAUGAGUAACCUGGUAGAGCUGCUGCUCCCCCUUUUCAUGUCCUCAUUUUGAGAGGAAGAAUUUUGAGCAGAUGUUUUCUGUUAGCAGCUGACAGACGUUUGACAGAAAUGCCUCACUGGACACAAAAGUGCUUCUUGCUGACCUAGUAUCUGCAGUAAGUGGCACACAGGAACAUGGGAAGUGUUGUGAUGAGUCAGACCACGAUCUCACAGCCCUGUGAUCCAUCUCUGGGAGAGCUCAUGUCCCUGACCAAAAUUUGCAGGCUCCUCUCUGUUCUUUCCAAGGCAGAAUGCAGGAUGGCAUGUUGCUGCCCAGCCCUUUAGCAAAUGUUUUCCAAACCCACCGCCCUUUGCCUACUCUGUGUUAUGAAAUCCCUCUGGAUUUCAUUCCUAUCAGUAUAUCUGAAUACUUGAAAGAGCUUGUUUUCUGCAGUCUUGAAGAUUUCUCUAUUCAUCCUCUUCUUUGAGUCAGUAAUGGUGAUGAAUAAAAAUUGGUCCCUGGUAUACUCUGUUACUGAAUUCUUUCCUCCCAAGCUUUAUUCAGUGCUUCCAAUCUUUCAUCUGCUUUCAAUCCAUAAAAGAACAUUUCCCCCAGUCUUGUGUCAACCUGUUUGCCUUUGGCCUCCUGUAAUGCCCAUGUUAAUGACACCAUUGCUGUGUUUGUCCAAGCUCACGCAGAAUGUGUGACAUCAGAUUUCCUUCUUCAUUCAGACCCAGAAAUGUGAAGGAGACGUGAGCUGUCCAUCCAGAGACUUUCUGCACACAACACAGAAAUGUCCUGAGCUGCAGGCAGCCAGGGGUGGUCUUCUGUACCUCAACUCCCCCUCAACACAGACUGAUGCCUAGUCAUCCCCUCUCAGAGCUGCACCAUUCUACACUACACUAAUUAGCCACUGUAAAAUCACAAGAGUAGAUGAAUGCUGUCACUAGUGCCCAGCACCUUUGUAAUCCACAGCUCUGGUUCUAUUUAAAGGAAUCUUCUCAGCCCCUGAUGAUUGCAAACAAUCACCUCCUAAUAGCAGUGGGAUAUUUUGACUCAGUCAAGGCAAAUUAGAUAAACUGGGAUAAAACAAUAUAACAGUCAUUUAUUUUUGGCAGUAAGACCAAGAAGUUACUCCAAAAUGUUAUUUAGCUCUGUAACUACUUACCAGAGGAUCCAAAAGAGUUGGAACAAUGUGACUCUGAAGUAGAAGAGAAAAUGACCAAAAUCAGAGACUACGGCAAAUGUAGGCAAUACUUAAUUAACAUGAUGAUCCAAACAAUAGAAACACUCUAAUGAACGGUAUCUAGUCAAGAUAAUGUAGCCAGUUCAAACAUCAGUUUUAAUUAAUAGGUCUAAUGGUAUCAAAUCUGGAUAAAAUAGGUUAUCCCACUGUAUGUCACAGCUGUGUUUUUACUCUUAAGAACCUUCCCUAGUAAUUAAUGUGAUGCACUGUGGUUCACAGCUUACUGUCACACCCCUCACACUGGUAUCUUCAUGGCUCUGUUAAAAUUCCUAAGGGCUGGUGUGCUCUGACACUAACAGAAACUGUGACAUUGAUUUUUCUGAAAUGUGCAGGUCUUUACUUCUCAAUGAAUUAUUACCCAUAGUCACAAAAGGGUUUGAUUUAAAAAUUUUUUUCUAAUAAGUCAACAACAUGGUUCUGUAUGUCACAUACUUCAGUGACUUUUCUGUUAAUUUUAGGUAUGGAGGGUUACUCUGUGUUUGUGUUUUCUUUUAAACAGAUUCAUUAAACACCUGAAAUGGAUUAUGACCAGGCUAAUGGAUCAAGUCCAGGGAAGAAACUGUGCUCUGAAAUGUAGAGAUGAAAAAAAGGACAAGAGAACAAGAAGAGUUGUCAUCAGACCUUGUCAGUUGUGACUUCUCUUCAUGGACUUUGCCUCUUGUGUGUGCACUUACUGCAGUGAUUCAUGCACCAUGCUGGGCUUCCAUAGGUAAUUCUGGGAUAGACUGUAUGAAAAAAUAAGAUAAUCUAUGUUCCAAUGUAACAGAAAAUCAAGAUGUUACCCAGAUUUGAUAAACUUUUGAAUUAAUACCAUGUCACCCAAAUGGACACAUUCUACAUAUAGCUUCAGCCAGUUUUACAAUCACAUGUUGAAAAUUCUACCAGCCAGUAGUUUAAAAGCAGUGCUUUCUCAGGGGAAAAUAUGCAGGAGUGACUGAAGGAGGUUCUGUUCAGGGAGUAUAAUGGCAAGAACUGUGCUAGUAAGAUAUUUUAUUUAAAAUGAGAGUUUUGAAAUAGAUCAGAGAGUGAAUUUUAUAUAAGUCAGGUGGAAUCAUUAUUUAACACAGGAUACUUUGCAGAUUGUUUAAGCUCACAUUCCUAUGUACAGAUGUGAAAGCAAUACAAUAAAGACUGAUCUUUUCCAUGAAAAAUUAA